rnacentral:rRNA from 1 species
GACGAACGCUGGCGGCGUGCUUAACACAUGCAAGUCGAACGAUGAAGCUGGAGCUUGCUCCAGUGGAUUAGUGGCGAACGGGUGAGUAACACGUGAGCAAUCUGCCCUUGACUCUGGGAUAACUGCGGGAAACUGUAGCUAGUACCGGAUACGACACCUUGGGGCAUCCCGGGGUGUGGAAAGAAUUUCGGUCAAGGAUGAGCUCGCGGCCUAUCAGCUUGUUGGGGAGGUAAAGGCUCACCAAGGCGACGACGGGUAGCCGGCCUGAGAGGGUGACCGGCCACACUGGAACUGAGACACGGUCCAGACUCCUACGGGAGGCAGCAGUGGGGAAUAUUGCACAAUGGGCGAAAGCCUGAUGCAGCAACGCCGCGUGAGGGAUGACGGCCUUCGGGUUGUAAACCUCUUUUAGCAGGGAAGAAGCGAAAGUGACGGUACCUGCAGAAAAAGCACCGGCUAACUACGUGCCAGCAGCCGCCGUAA